rnacentral:rRNA from 1 species
GACGAACGCUGGCGGCGUGCUUAACACAUGCAAGUCGAACGCUGAAGCUCAGCUUUUGUUGGGUGGAUGAGUGGCGAACGGGUGAGUAACACGUGAGUAACCUGCCUCCUUCUUUGGGAUAACGCCCGGAAACGGGUGCUAAUACUGGAUAUUCACUGGUCUUCGCAUGGGGGUUGGUGGAAAGGGUUUUUCUGGUGGGGGAUGGGCUCGCGGCCUAUCAGCUUGUUGGUGGGGUGAUGGCCUACCAAGGCUUUGACGGGUAGCCGGCCUGAGAGGGUGACCGGUCACAUUGGGACUGAGGUACGGCCCAGACUGAUACGGGAGGCAGCCGUGGGGAAUAUUGCACAAUGGGCGCAAGCCUGAUGCAGCGACGCCGCGUGAGGGAUGGAGGCCUUCGGGUUGUGAACCUCUUUCGCUCAUGGUCAAGCCGCAACAAUGGUUGUGGUGAGGGUAGUGGGUAAAGAAGCGCCGGCUAACUCCGUG